ACACUGUCUCCUCCCGAGACUCAGCGAAGUUGAAGUGUUUGUGAUGAUGCAAUCUCCCCGCGGCUAGACGGAAAGACCCCAUGAACCUUUACUGCAGCUUUGCAUUGGACUUUGAACCGGUCUGUGUAGGAUAGGUGGGAGGCUAUGAAGUAGGGACGCCAGUCUCAAUGGAGCCGUCCUUGAAAUACCACCCUGAUCUGUUUGAGGUUCUAACCUUGGCCCGUGAUCCGGGUCGGGGACAGUGCAUGGUAGGCAGUUUGACUGGGGCGGUCUCCUCCCAAAGUGUAACGGAGGAGUACGAAGGUACGCUAGGUACGGUCGGAAAUCGUGCUGAUAGUGCAAUGGCAUAAGCGUGCUUGACUGUGAGACUGACAAGUCGAACAGGUGCGAAAGCAGGUCAUAGUGAUCCGGUGGUUCUGUAUGGAAGGGCCAUCGCUCAACGGAUAAAAGGUACUCUGG
rnacentral:rRNA from 1 species